CCUACGGGCGGCAGCAGUAGGGAAUAUUGCUCAAUGGGGGAAACCCUGAAGCAGCAACGCCGCGUGGAGGAUGAAGGUGUUAGGAUUGUAAACUCCUUUUGGUAGAGAAGAUUAUGACGGUAUCUAACGAAUAAGCACCGGCUAACUCCGUGCCAGAAGCCGCGGUAAUACGGGGGGUGCAAGCGUUACUCGGAAUCACUGGGCGUAAAGGGUACGUAGGGGGGAUAAUAAGUCAGAUGUGAAAUCCUGUAGCUUAAAUCCAGACCUGCAUUUGAAACUGUUACUCUGGAGUGUGGGAGAGGUAGGUGGAAUUCUUGGUGUAGGGGUAAAAUCCGUAGAGAUCAAGAGGAAUACUCAUUGCGAAGGC
rnacentral:rRNA from 1 species